GGCACACUGAUCUUGGACUUCCAACCUUGAGAAUUGCAGAAAGUCCUGGAAAUUGGCUACGUAGGAAGCAGCCCUCAGUUCCAGACUCCAUGUGAAUGAAGCCAGACAGUAAGAGCCCUCAAGUCUUCUCCAUCUGUUCCCCAGAGGCUGCUGAAAGGACCCAGGGAAGAGCUCAUGACUGUGGUUUCAUCCGUGUGGGGCCCACAGGCAUGUUCACAGAGGAUGCGGGUGCCUGGGGCCCAGAUCAAGGCAAGAAAACCUGGCUGAAGUGGGAUCUACCAGUAAUUCACUGAGAGACUGAACAUAAAAUUAAUGAUUUGCUCCCUGGGUGAGUUCCUGCCUGUACAGCCGAGAGCACCACAGCCCCUUCUUCUUGGGGCUUCCGAUUCAAGGACAUGACAAAAGGAUCCGGAUUGGCUGAAUGUGAUUCAGAU